rnacentral:lncRNA from 1 species
GAUGAGUCAUGUUCACACCAAAGCCGUGAAUAAGGUGGCCUGGGUCAUCACAGAAAAGCACUACAUGAGCCUGGGCAACAACUUCCACAUGAACGUGUGUGUGUGUGUGUGUGUGUGUGUGUGUGGAGAUUGCUAUUAUCUCCAGUAGGAAGUCCUGCAACAAGAUAGCAGGCUAUGUCACACAUCUGAUGCAGAGGAUUCAGAGGGUCCCAGUAAGAAAUAUCUCCAUCACAUUUUAGGAGGAGGAGAGAAAAAGGAGAGAUAAUUCUGUUCCUGAGGUCUCAGUCCUGGAUUAGGAGGUCACUGAAGUAAAUUCUCACACUGGGGAAAUGCUAAAGCUUUUGGACAUUGGCAGUCUAUCCAACCUGCAGGUCACUCAGCCUGAAGUUGGGAUGAAUUUUAAAAUGCCACGUGGAAC